GAUGAACGCUGGCGGCGUGCCUAAUACAUGCAAGUCGAGCGAACGGACGAGAAGCUUGCUUCUCUGAUGUUAGCGGCGGACGGGUGAGUAACACGUGGAUAACCUACCUAUAAGACUGGGAUAACUUCGUGAAACCGGAUCUAAUACCGGAUAAUAUUUUGAACCGCAUUGUUCAAUAGUUAAAGACGGUCUUGCUGUCACUUAUAGAUGGAUCCGCGCUGCAUUAGCUAGUUGGUAAGGUAACGGCUUACCAAGGCAACGAUGCAUAUCCGACCUGAGAGGGUGAUAGGCGACACUGGAACUGAGACACGGUCCAGACACCUACGGGAGGGAGCAGAAGGGAAUAUUCGGCAAUGGGCGAAAGAGUGACGGAGAAAAGCCGCGUGAGAGAUGAAGGUGUUGGGAUCGUAAAAAACUGUUAUUAGGGAAGAAAAUAAGUGUAAGAAAAUGUGCACAUAUUGACGGUAAAUAAAAAGAAAGCAACGGCUAACUACGUG
rnacentral:rRNA from 1 species